rnacentral:tRNA from 1 species
AAGACCUUAAGUUAAAUAAAACUAAUAUCCUUCAAAGCUAUAAAUAAAGAAAACCUUUAGGUCUUA